GAGCGGUAGCUCAGUGGUAGAGCGUUCGAUUGCAGAAAUACCACAAAUUUCGAAUGGUCAUCGGUUCAA
rnacentral:tRNA from 1 species